rnacentral:ncRNA from 1 species
UAUCGAAAAUGAUAUAAGUAAGAAGCCUACUGAGUCAUUGGUUAAUAAAAAAUAUCAAUCAAGUAUAGUGUAAGAAGCCCUUGUUGUUGCUUAAGUUGUACGUGAGCAUUAGAUUGGAGCGUUACUAGUGGGCCAUUUUUGGUAAGCAGAACUGGCGAUGCGGGAUGAACCGAACGCGAGGUUAAGGUGCCGGAAUGCACGCUCAUCAGACACCACAAAAGGUGUUAGUUCAUCUAGACAGCCCGACGGUGGCCAUGGAAGUCGGAAUCCGCUAAGGAGUGUGUAAUAACUGACGUACCGAAUUAAAUAGCCCUGAAUAUGAAAUAUACUGUACUAGGCCCGUCGUACUAUUCAGCAGAGACAAUGGACAAUGCCGAUGAGUA